ensembl:lncRNA
AAUGAAAAACAAAACAGAAUCAUUUCACCAAAAUACACAAAUGACAUACUUAGUAAUUAUGACUCUCGUCAAAUUUUAAAGGGUUGAAGUGAGUCACAGUGAUGUGCUUUGAGAAAAGACUUUUCCGAUGUUUUGCUUUUUUGCAUUCUCCUUUUUUAAUUUGUUUUAAAUGAAGUGUUUCUGAUGGGUUUUGGAUAGGUUUGUUUUGGUGCUUUGGCGAAUGUACAAUAAUGUUAAAACAGAAAAUAUAGUUUACUGAGAAAAAGAUUACAGAGAAAAGAAGUCAUCACAGUAUAGGAGGAGACUGGCCCAUCCACCCCAUCCUCUUCUCUAUGCAGACUUUUCAUUUUUCAUUAUUUGCACCACAUAGAAAAGAUAAAGACUGAAACCACGUGAGAUCAUUUGAGCAUAACGCUGGCCUUUCACUGAAACAGUUCAUGCCACUUUUUACGCUCUAUCCUUCCUCCCCGAACUUCUAAUCCCAACCAGUAUAAAGGGAAACAAUUUUUUUUAUUUGUUUAUCAAGAGAUUAUACAAACUUAUAUAUAUUGUAUUGUAUGCAUCUUACAUGACAUCAUUUCUCAAACAUUUCUUUCCCAAUCAUUUUAACUUUUUCUUGUUAAACAAAAGACAAAUUAAAAUACAAGAAACAUCAUGCCGCACACAAGAACCGAAAAUUGAGAAAAAAAAGAAGAAAAAAAUGUGAGUAAAUUAGAAAAAAUGUUAAAUAAAUAAAUUAAAAUUAAACAAUAAAAAAAAAUUUUUCAAAAAUAAAUAAAAGAAUAGAAGGGGAGGGGGGGAUGCUUAAAUCCUAAAUCCUACAUUAAAAAAGAGUAAAUUUCAAAUUCUUUUCAAUCUAGUCACAGGGUGGGUAAAUUGCGUUGUUCUAAAUACUAAGGAAACGAUUUGAGAUAUUCCACAAAGGGUGUCCACUUGUGGAUAAAUUUUGCAGAACUACAUUUCACUGAGUGAGAUCUUCUCCACCCUCAAUAAUGUCCGGACUGUCACGGACCCGGUUCCGGGGACUCGGGGUCCGUGAGCAGUGUGGAGUAUAAUUAUUAUCAUUAUUAUUAUUUGAUGUGUCUUCUUCUCUGUGCUACUAUUCUAUCCACAUUUGUAUGUAGGCAGGUGUGUGUGUGUAUGUGUGUGCAGCUGUUCUCUGUGAGCCA